CUCUGCCGGGUUUUCCGAGUUCGCGGUCACCCUUCCCUGCGUUGGGGUGGCAGUCCGUUGAUUUGACCUCAAUAUAGAGAGCCUUAGCAUGUGUGUGGGCCCACAAGAUCCUUGCUGAAAAAGAGAAGACAUCACUGUAAGCAACACACUGGCAUGGAGGGGGUUCGCGUUGCCACCACAAGCUGCUGUUUACCUGUCCUCCGCACACCGCACGCCUACAGCAAGCAAGUGACACAGCCUCCUUCCCGGGGCCCCACCUUCAGGAAUGUGGCCUUAUUUUAGAGGAGGGGAGAGGCGGGGAGAGGAUGGGCGAGGGCAGACUUAGGUGGAAUGGGAGGGUAUACUGGCUUAUGUUUCCUGAAAGCCACCGAGGGAAACUCAAAACUAUAUACAUCAAAUUAUCCAAUCAAUAUAUAUUUUAAAUAAAUGAACAUAGCUGUG